rnacentral:rRNA from 1 species
CACUGCAAAACUAGCCCGUCACCCAAAACCAAUUAUUACACAUUUAUAAACCCUUAUACACGUAUAUAAAAACCCAAACCAUUUUUCCACCUUAGUAUGGGAGACAAAAAAG